AACGGCCGUACCAUGCUGAAUAUACCGGUUCUCAUUAGAUCACCGAAGUCAAGCAUCAUAGGGCGCGGUCAGUACUUGGGUGGGUGACCACCUGGGAACACCGCGUGCCGUU
rnacentral:rRNA from 1 species